UUGUAACAUUUGAUCAAUAGGCAUUUAUUGAACAUCUACUCCGUUACAAGGUAUUGUGCCAGGCCACCACAAGAAGCUAAAAAAAAAAAAAGACCCGCAAAAUCUUAACUCAUAAUAAAACACCCCAUAUGGUAAUUGCCAAAGGAGUAAUAUGGAUGAAAGUUAGUUUGGGAGUAUGGGAACAAUAAUUGCUCAGAAAUAAAAUGAAAAAGUAAAAAGGGAGAGAGUUAUGAGAUUUAGAAUUAACCUUUAAGUGAGAUUUUGGAAGAAGUUAGAAAGGAAAAGAAGGAACCAAAGGAGGGUGAAAUGGGGCAGCCCUUCUGUGGAAUAAAAGAUGUUUCAACCAAGUUCUAAUCUAAUGAGUUGCAGGAUGACAAUGAAGGUGUUUCUCAACUGUACAAGGAAGAGAAAUCACAUUAAAAUACUGCCGAGCCAAUAAAAAGAGGAUAUAACACAAGAAAAACAAAUGCAUUUGUGUGAAAGAUAUGUAAAGUUUAGUACAUCAACUUUAUAAACUGUUUCAGUGUUUUCUUGGAACACACAAAUUUGACAAUGUGUGUGAGUCCACAGAUGGUAGUUUCAGGAGAGGAGGAGCUUUCAAGGUGAGAAUGGCAAACUGGAGAUUUCCCACUUUGGUGGCCAUAAUGCCAAUGGUCAUAUUGCCUGGGCGAAAGAAGCCUGCUCACUCACUCUCCCAGCCUCUCCAGCAUGCAGUGGGGCUUUAUUAAAGAGUGUGCACAGUCCUUUUUGUGCUCUGAAAAGACAAGCUAUACAAUAUUGCAUGCUUUACUUAUUCUACCAGAAACUUGUAUUGUUCAUAGAAGUACUCCAUAUUCAUACGUACAAAUGGUUUACAGGUAGACUCUUGACUGAAUAAAAUAAUGUAUCAUACCUGGAAAAGUGAACACUACAAACAAUCUGAAGCCUUAAUUCAAAAGAAAGGAUAAGCAGGGCAUAAUCCAGGAGCAGCCAAAAUUCUGGGGAGAGUCACCUGAUGUAGAAGAAGGGCAAUAAUAAAAGGAGGAAAUGAAGAAGGUAGAAAAUAAAGGGAAGGUAAAGAAAAGGAAUGGAGAGAGACUUCAAUUUCUCUCAUCCAUGAAGCUGUGUUGACAGCUAUUCCUAAUCCAGCAUUCUCUGACAAGGCAUUUUGUAUAAAUGUGGUGUCCAGCAGAGACUUUGUGUUGCCAGGCUGCUCCAGCCACUGUGGCCUCAUCCUCUCUCCACCUCCAUGGUGGCACCCCACCCAGAUUCCUUUCUUGUCAAACUUGUUUCCAGUCACCCAAGCCCUCUAGUCUGUGACCUCUUGGUCAAACUGUCUGUUACCCAGGACACAAAUAGAUCGAGGGUGUCAGAUAACAUGGUAAUUUGGUGGGGGAGAAGAGGGUUUGAGUGAACACUGCAAUACCCUUUAGAAUACUCCUUUCCCCAACUACUCAAACCCUUAAAAGUAAAUGCCCUUUCUCCACCUAUGUUUCUCUGUCUCUAAGUCACUGAAAAGCAACUGAGCGUGUGAUUCAUACUUCUUUGUAUUUAUUUGCUUCGAUGCAUUCAUUGUCUCUCUAGAGCUAACUUAGUGGAACAUUUGAGUCAAUUCUAUUUUUCUUGGGAGAGUGGAAUAACAUAAAGUUGGGUGCUGACGAAGUUGAUCUGUAUUGCUCUGUAGGAAUGACAUAGAGCAUUGUGUGCACUGCAGUUAGAGCAGCGACACUACAUGAAGUGAUGAACACUCUGUAACCACAUCUUAAACAGAAAGCCAUUUUCUCUGAGAACGAACUGAUUGGUGAUGUCCAAUUAAUACACAUACACAGCACUUGUCACAUUGUUGAUGCCUGCUGAGACUCUGGAAAGCCUUGUUUACUGCAUGUCUCCGCUGCCACCCUCCAUCCCCUGCCAGAAAUUCUCAGGAUCACUAUACAGGCUGUGAACACACUGAAGCAGGAGCAGUGGCCUUUGAAGAAGCUAGGAUGUGACCUUGAGAGUAAUGCAACGAUGCAGCGUUCUCAGCAGACAUGCACACCAGCACAGCCACUUUCUCACACCCCUAAGUAUAGAGAUUUGAGUGAAUGCUCUCAGCAAAACUUCUGUUCCAAUAAACAAGUCAGAGGUAGGGUCCAGGUUGAGGCGGAGUGUGCCAUCUGUUCAAAAUAUAUAUAUAUAUAUAUAUAUAUAUAGUGUGUGUAUAUAUAUAUACAGAUACACACACACUAAGAGGUUAUAAUGAGUCAGGCAUGCAUUUAAAUAAAACUAUUUUGUAUAAGAAAAAAAGAAUCUUCUUAAGAGGUACAGGAAUUGCUCUGCAGGUUGGCUGGCAAUUCCUGAAAGCCCUAAUAAUAUCACAUCUCCCUUUUGCUUGCACCCACCUUAUCUCAGAUUUUUCUUCAAUGGGGGCGGGGGACGGGGGGAACAGAGGUUAGGCAGAGGGAGAGAGACAGAGAUACAGAAACAGAAUCAUCUUCCUAUUCAGGAAUUUGCUCAGUGCCUGAGUCAGUAAUGUUUCCAGGUGAGGGCACAGGAACUUAGGAUGUGCACUGUCUUGAAUUCUUCCUUCAGCUCUGUUAUCUUUUGGUAAAUUCUGUAUAUUUUGACUGGGCACGUGGGCCUAGCACAUAAGUCAGUGCAGACGUAUCAUUUUACUUUCCAUUACUUAUGUGUAAAGAAAAAACAAAUAGGUCAGAGUCGGAAGGAGGCAGGGUCCAGACCAGUUGUGGGUGGGAUCGGAUAGGAGCCUAGGACUUCAGCGCGACCUCAAGCCAGGACUUCUGCGAGGUCUCAGGUCCGAGGGCCAGGUCGGGCGCCGGUUGCACCGCCCACCGCGCGCCUCCCCUUCGUCCCCAGGCCCUGGUCCGGGGCUCUUGCUGCCACUCCCAACCCACUGAGCCCUGCCUCCUGGGAUCCCACCCCGGGCGCCAGGGAUGGCAGCAGAGCGACCUUUCUCGGCCCUGUGGACAGCCGCUCCUCCUAGACUCCAGCUUUCCCCCACUAACUUUUAUAAGAGAUGAAAAGCUGUUCACACGUUCUCAAGUGUGAAAGAAAAGGAAAUUCUCUUGUGUUAGAAGCCCUGAACCUCAAACUCCGCAAGGAGAACGGUUGACUCAGUCACCCCCCUUCCUCCAGUCCCUCAUUUGUCCUCCGCUUCCUGCGGCUGAACGGUCCUUGAUAAGUGGCCUCCAGAAGAUUCGGUACUUUGGGCCAGGGGCAAGGCUGGGGCUGCUCUAGGUGCAGAACUCUCUAUAGGUCCUCUCUCCCAGGACCGGAUAGAUGAUUCAUUUUUAUACGUAACGUUUUACCCCAGUCUAUUCCCGCAGCUGGUUAAUGUUCAACCCCCGGGCCUCGAGAGGCAGCUCCAAGGAGGCAGGCAGGCAUGACCCAUUCAAGGUAUAUGGCUGCUCGGGAGUGAAGGCGCGGAGGCCCGAGAAAGGAUAAACAAGACACCGCCUCAUCAGAUAAGAACGUCUCCUUCGAUGUCACGGAUUUCAAGAGGUAGCUGGAGAAACUGACGUCAGGAGUGUCCUGUGAAUGAACAUCGCCCGAGGCCUAGCACCCACAGAAGAAGGGUUCUAUUUUACUCUACUUUGCUUGAUAUUAUUUAUUUUCUAACAAAGUGAUCCGUAGUCUGCAACCUUAGGCUCUGACAGGCAAAGCCCAUUUCUUAGCUCUGGGGAUGGCUUGCAGGGUCUCCACCUCUGUCCACUUUGGUGUCCUCUUUCUCCCUUCGGCUCCCCACCUCCAUCCCCCGAGCCCACACACAGCGGGGUGAAGCUGUCGGGGAGACUCGUGGGCAACCAAAUGCAGGCACCCUCUGAAGAGACGCCGAGAAGGCCCUGCAUUCGAUCCGGGAGGACAUAGAAAGAUGCCAUGAAGUUCUAUUGGGUGCAGCAAGCCGUUCCCCACGCACACUCCCCGUGAUACCUGCCCAGAGAAGCAGAAGCAGUUUCGAGGGCUGUUGACACAGGCAGAGCGGGGAAACGCGCCCAAGAAUUGGGCUGCCACUGGUAUGGGUCCCAAGUCACAUUCAAUAAGCUGCCCACCGCUUUCUGGGGGACAGCAGUGGUGGUUCUAGGUCUCAUCUUUCCAGAGCGACGAGGAUAAAAGUUCCUGCCCAGGACUGUGUGCGAGGGGGUCCCGCACUGCUGCAAACUCUCAGCGGAGGCAGAGAGGCUUUGCUGUUUCUGGAGAGAGGAAGCAUUGGCAGAGGCAGUCUCCGGGCUGUGAGGAAUCCACCCUCAUGCCUUAGUGUGGGUACGUCAGGUCCCAGCAUCAGCGGGCCAUUUCCUCAGUUGCAUGAAUGGAGGAAAAACCAAACCAAACCAAACCAAACCAAACCAAACCAAACCAAACCAAACCUUGGCUGUGGACAAAGAAAACAGGAGAGGGAGAGGAUGGAGGAGAAAAAGAGCACGAGGGAGGGCAAACACCUUAAACAUUUUUUGCCGUAAGACUAGAAGAACUAGGUCUGGAAAGAUCCAUCAAAGUCCCAGGGUGCAGACACACACCCUGCCCAGGGAGAGCCCAGUGAGUCUGAACUUCUCUUAGUCCUUCUGAAGGAAGGAAAUUUAAAAAGCACCUCUCACUACCACCAAAAAGUAAACACUUUUACCAUGUAGUCAUUA
rnacentral:lncRNA from 1 species